rnacentral:rRNA from 1 species
UACGAAGGGGGCUAGCGUUGUUCGGAAUUCCUGGGCGUAAAGCGCACGUAGGCGGAUUGUUAAGUCAGAGGUGAAAUCCCGGAGCUCAACUUCGGAACUGCCUUUGAUACUGGCAAUCUAGAGUCCGGAAGAGGUUAGUGGAAUUCCCAGUGUAGAGGUGAAAUUCGUAGAUAUUGGGAAGAACACCAGUGGCGAAGGCGGCUAACUGGUCCGGUACUGACGCUGAGGUGCGAAAGCGUGGGGAGCAAACAGG